UACGGAGGGGGGCUAGCGUUGUUCGGAAUUACUGGGCGUAAAGCGCGCGUAGGCGGACCUGCAAGUCGGGGGUGAAAGCCCGAGGCUCAACCUCGGAACUGCCUUCGAUACUGUAGAGCUUGAGACCGGAAGAGGUAAGUGGAACUGCGAGUGUAGAGGUGAAAUGCGUAGGAUAAUUUCGCAAGAACACCAGUCGGCGAAAGGCGGCCUUGUA
rnacentral:rRNA from 1 species